GGAGAUUUGGUGGUGACCGUGAUGGAUACCGUGGAGGCCCUAGAGGACCUGCUGGUGAAUUUGGAGGAGACAAAGGUGGAGCUCCAGCUGACUACAGGCCUUCUUUUGGGGUAAUAAUCUUAUUAGAUUAUUGUUUCAUUUCAAUGAAGUUUGAAUGUUGUGUUUGUUAUGAUUUAGUCUAUUCAUUUAGAUACAAUGAUGAUUCUAUUUAUCACGAUUUCGUCUAUUCAUUUAGAUACAAUGAUGAUUCUGUUCUGUUCAUUUUGUAAUGGGGUUUUAUGCGUGUUAAUUUUGGUAGCUUAAUUUUUACCUCAAUAUUAUCUUUGAUUUGAUCUCCACAGUGUGGUUCCCUUGUGUCUUGUGUAUAUUGCUCUGUCUAAUUUUCAUUGACAAGUAGACUUGGAUUCAAUUUAGAUUAAUUUCUCAAUCUUAAAAAUUAAAAAUUUAGUUAAUUUGUCAUAUAAAAGUUUGCAAUUGGUUGAGAGUACAUCUCAAACUUUUUAAGAACUAUGGUCAUUUCAUAACUUCUAAAAUCUUGGGUCUGAGUUAUGUUCCCUGUGUUCAUUAUAAGUUAUAAUUUGAACAUACAAGUUUUCUUGUGUUGUACAAACUGAUUUGUCAUGUUUGUUCAACUAUUAGAUGAUGAUGAACAUUUAUGUGCAAAACAAGUGUAGUGGUACACUAGUGUAAGAUCUUUAAUUGUUUUCUAGUUUAAUAGAGUUGGUUCCAAUGGUUCAUUGUUCUAUACAAGUUGAGUUGAUAGGGUUGAGCGUCGGAGGGUUCGGACAUGAACUUGUCAUGAUGGAUGAAACCGAUCACCGCUCAAUUCUGCCCAUAAAAACAUUUGGUUUUGGAUGGUCUCGGCUAGGGCGGGUCACGGUUUGGGGGGGGGGGGGGUUGGGUUGAUUAUGAGCCACAUAAAAUGAGUAGGUUUGGAUUUGUACAGAAAGAGAAAUAUGAAAAAGAAAGUGAUAGCUUUUAACACCUAGAUUUUUACUUUAUAGAAAGAAAGAAUGGAGAUAAGAGAGUAAUGUGACUAAAUUUAGUAGUUCUUACAAGAAGAGUAGUCAUAGUGCUACCUGGUUUUGAGAGAAGAAAAAAAAUGGAGAUUAUGUCUUGCUGUCUGUUGCUAAAACUUUUUUCUCUCAGAAAAUAUAAAUACCCAGAUUGAGAGAGGAGGCGUCAAAAAAUUGGAAUGAUUGUCAGAUGCUUCUUUUAUCUCGGAUAAGUAGCAAAGGUUUCGUUCCAUUUUAAUAUUAUUGAAGUAAAUGAAAGUAAUAUUAGUAUAAAUAAAUAUAAAAAUUGAGUGGGACAGUGCUUGGAUAGACAUAUGAGAAUAGACUAGUACUAUUAUCAGUAUGUCACAGGUAGGUGUGGCCACCGCUGGAUUUAGCUUUUGAAAUCCAAGGCCCCCCGAAUCGCCUCAUAUUGACUCGAUUUCCUUUGUUUUUCACCCGUUACCCGUCUAAAUCCGACCUGAUCACCUGAACAGCAACCGGUUUGGACAGGUUUCUGUCGGGUCACGGGUUGUUGCUUGGCCCUUCAAUUUGGUAUACACUAUGCUGUCUCUACCUUCUUACUUUGAAUUAUGGUGCAUUGUUUCAAGUUUUAGUAUUAUUUGGAUUUCAAGUGUUAGAUAUAUCAGUAAUUCACAUUCUGUUCCUGCUUUCCUCAUGUAUAUACUUCUAUUGGUAUACACUAUGCUGUCUCUACCUUCUUACUUUGAAUUAUGGUGCAUUGUUUCAAGUUUUAGUAUUAUUUGGAUUUCAAGUGUUAGAUAUAUCAGUAAUUCACAUUCUGUUCCUGCUUUCCUCAUGUAUAUACUUCUAUUGGCAUAUGAUUCUGAUCAAGUUUUAUUCUCCUGACUUUAUUGCAGGGCCCUGGUGGUAGACCUGGCUUCGGUCGUGGUUCUGGUGGCUUUGGAGCACCAACUAGUUCAAACGAUGCUUAAAUGUAACGAUUUCCGCUUCAGCUCAUGCAGUUUUGGCUGUC
rnacentral:lncRNA from 1 species